CGGAGUGGCAAUGGCACGGGGGAUGGUGUGAUACACAGCCAAAUCGUGGCUUGCCCUUCACCCUUGCUUAGUAUAACCUCCUUUCUUGCAAUCUUCACUUUUCAAGCCAUCCUAAGCCACACAAUGAUUUGAACCGACAAUAAGCAUACAUUUGAAACCAUUUCAUUUGCAUUGUUGUCUUCUGCUUAAAUAUUUUUUCUCAUAUAAAUACUAGUAUAUUGCUCGUGCUAACGCUACGGUAUCAUCUAAAAUCACAAACCAACCAACCAAAAUAUAAUAUAAGUUCUGAUAAUUGAUCAUGAAUAAAAUUGAACGACACAAAAAAAAAGUCUAGAUUUACUUAGAGAGACAUUGCAAUCUAUUUAGGGUGCGUUUGGUUUGAGGGAUGAAGUGGGACGGGACGGGACGAUCCCACUUCGUCCCGUGUUUGGUUUGGAGACAGGUGGGAUGGGGACAUCCCUAUGAGGGAAUAUACCCUCCAGAUGCGGGAUGUCCCCAUCCCACCAAAACAAGCGGACGGGGGCAUCCCACUUCGCCCCCGUCACGCGCCGUCCAUCCGCACCGGCAGAGGGGGUGAGAUUGGGCGGCGGUCAACUACUGGCGGAGGGGCAGAGCUUGGGCGGGGGGAGGGGGGGAGCCGCCGGCGGAGGGGCCGGCGCGGGUGAGCUCCACCGCGGCCGGCAGGCGCGAGAUCCGCCGCGGCCGGCCCGGGCGAGCUCCCCCAUGGCCCUUGAGAUCCGGCGGGCGGCGGCUCGAGGCCGGCGGGGCCCGAUUCACGGGCGGCGCGCCCGGGGCAAGCUCCCCCAGCGGCGCAAUGGCGAGCCCAAGAACGGUGCCACGAGCGGAACCGGGGUGGAGGAAGAAGAUGGCGGUUAGUAUGAUAGGUGGGCCCCACGAACAGUGUCUAACAGAAGGAGAAAACGGUGCUCGUCCCGUCUACAGCAAUUUCUCCAACCAAACAAAAAAUUAAGACGGACCUAUCCCAUUCAACCAAAUAUGAAAUUAGUGAACAAAUCAAGGAUUCAUAGACUCACCUGCACGGCUGCUCCAAAUGGUACAGCCUCAUCAAUGUUGACAGCAAGUUUUUUUCCUUCUGUCACCUGAAGAGCAAUGUCUCAGCGUUCUUUUUCCGACGGCUGCGGAGGCUUGGGCCACCGUGCCAGUCUACCCGCGCUGGACCCCCCACGCCGUGACCCAAUGGCCGAGCCGCCUGUGCCACCCGCACAGGGUCCCCACGCCGCGCCGAUAGCGCCACUACGCCGCG
rnacentral:lncRNA from 1 species